AACACGUGGGCAACCUACCUUAUAGUUUGGGAUAACUCCGGGAAACCGGGGCUAAUACCGAAUAAUCUGUUUCACCUCAUGGUGAAAUAUUGAAAGACGGUUUCGGCUGUCGCUAUAGGAUGGGCCCGCGGCGCAUUAGCUAGUUGGUGAGGUAACGGCUCACCAAGGCGACGAUGCGUAGCCGACCUGAGAGGGUGAUCGGCCACACUGGGACUGAGACACGGCCCAGACUCCUACGGGAGGCAGCAGUAGGGAAUCUUCCACAAUGGGCGAAAGCCUGAUGGAGCAACGCCGCGUGAGUGAAGAAGGAUUUCGGUUCGUAAAACUCUGUUGUAAGGGAAGAACAAGUACAGUAGUAACUGGCUGUACCUUGACGGUACCUUAUUAGAAAGCCACGGCUAACUACGUGCCAGCAGCCGCGGUAAUACGUAGGUGGCAAGCGUUGUCCGGAAUUAUUGGGCGUAAAGCGCGCGCAGGUGGUUUCUUAAGUCUGAUGUGAAAGCCCACGGCUCAACCGUGGAGGGUCAUUGGAAAACUGGGAGACUUGAGUGCAGAAAGAGGAUAGUGGAAUUCCAAGUGUAGCGGGUGAAAAUGCGUAGAGAUUUGGAAGGAACACCAGUGGCGAAGGCGACUAUCUGGUCUGUAACUGACACCUGAGGCGCGAAAGCGUUGGGGAGCAAACAGGAUUAGAUACCC
rnacentral:rRNA from 1 species